rnacentral:tmRNA from 1 species
UUUCUUGCAUUCGCAGUCGAUUAAAAUUAGUCGACACGAAAAUGGCGCUUUGGCCGAUGUUCCGGGCAUUCUAGAAGUCGACUAACGGCCCAGACGGUCAUAUACGGUUCGGUACCCGGCGCCUCCACCAAAAACCGGCGGCCUUAGAGGCCGGCUUUUGAUGGGGGCGAAACAGGAUCGACAAGGGUGUAAAGAUCGUCUUUUUGCUCGGCAUUGUACCGCCGUUAUCGGGCUAAAAUUGUAGUUGCAAACGACAACUAUGCGGAAGCUCGUCUCGCUGCUUAAUCGCGGUGUGACACUUCAAUCAAAGUCCUAGUGGUUCGCACCUCUAGGCGGGGUCCGAAGGCACCUGGCAACAGAAGCCUUCACC